GUUCUUUCAAUCCAAAAGUGGACUGAAGCUGGACUAAAUCUUAGGUGUGAUUGGGCCCUUAAGGUCAGCAUGUGCCACACUCGAGCAGAGCCAGCUCCUGGAAUUUAGCAUCCCAGCCCUGAACUGCUCUUCAAAUAUUUUUCCCAAGUGUUCCAUGCAGUGAAUGCUAUCAGAAUAUAUUACAUAGCUACCACUUUAAACUCUCAGAAUGCCUAUCCCCGUAGCGUUACUUCAGGAGAUUGUGAACAUUUAAAAUGGCCACCCCAGUUCCAGCUGCGCAAAAGAUAGGCAUUAACAGCUUGAACUUUUCCUUCAGGGAGUGGCAGGCCUAACCUGUGAGACAGUCCCCAAUUUUUUAGCAGCUUCGGUCAACAAAGCCUAGCGUUCUUUCUUUCCUCCUUCCUUCCUUGAUACCACUUUUCUAAGNCCUGCAGGUAGCCAGUCAAAAAGGAUCCCAAUAGUUUGCAGAAAAGAAACUUCAGCUGACUAAAAAAACCCCGUUUCGUCUGCAUACUACUGAGAAAGAAGAAUUCAGGGGCAGAGCAGAAACUUGCUGUGUACCUUUAAAAUUCAGUUUUCUCCUCCCUCUGUUAUGGUCCCAGCCGUUCCUGGAAGUCCCGCCCAACAGGGCUACUGAUGGACACCUUUUCUGACCUAUAGAACGUCCGUGGUGGAGGUCGUGAGCCAAUGAGACGAAAUAUUUGAACAUGGUGCCAGGCUCUAGGAAGAGUUUCAGGAAGCGACUGUUCUGUAGCUGAACACGGGAAGGUGGUCAGUAGCUCCGAAGGUGAGGGAAGCGGCGGCGGGCCAGCCAGGUGCCUACCCAGGAGCAGCAUACCCUCCCAAUUCUUCAUAUCCAGCUGACUUCAACCCAGCACACCCUCCUCCUCCUGUGAAUCCAGCCUUCCCCCAAGGUCCAGUCCCUGCUGGCUCGUAUCCUGCCCCCCCUGCAGGAAUCCCCGGACAACCUGCGUAUCCUUCAGGUCACCCUAAUCAGCUGCCAUAUCCUGGGCAUCAGCCCGGCUAUCCCGUGCCAUCUGGAGGUCCUUAUCCUCCACCUGCUCCUGGUAUGCCUGGAGGAAUGGGAGUGAAUCCAUUGGUUCCUGGGGCUAUUGCUGUGGGAACCCAUGUGAUGGAUAAGAAGGCAGCAAAAAAGAUGAAGAAGAAAAUGAAGAAGGCCCACAAGAUGCACAAGCCACACAAACUCCAUAAGCUUCAUGGAAAGCAUUCCUCUUCCUCCUCAUCUAGCAGCAGUGAUUCUGACUGAGGCCUCUCCCUACCUCUGAGCUGUAUCUUCUUCCCACAGANGCAGAUCCUUACACCAGUCUUCCUGCUUCUGCCCUACACUGUCUUCUAAUGUCUCACAAGAUUAAAAAUGAUGCACGCUUACUGCUCAUCCUAUCUUACAGGACUGGGCCACAUGUCAUGUUAUCCCAAGGGCGUGUGCAGUCUCUUGCAAAGUCUGAUGGGAAUUCUGGUGUAGCUGACCAAGCAGCGUUUGUAUAAUCAGUUGUUGUGUCUUGACAAACCAGAAGAGUAGUUAUAGUUGGUUUAAAGAAAGUGUGUCUGCAAACACAAGCAACAGUGGCAGCCUUCAGAAAUGUGGGCUGUUCAUUCCUACAGCAUACAGAGUUGUUUCUCAACACUGAGGUUUCGGAGGAUUUCUUUAAGCAAGUUCGGAUUCAGUGGAACAGGCACUCUGGGGUAAAGUUCAUUGCAAGGCAGUAGAUCCAAGGUGGUGUCAACCUUCCUUAAAAUUAGUCAAAUAUAAAAUUAAAAUUACUUGAGAUAAUUAUCAUGUUUUGUGUGAAACCCUUAUCAAUGACAAAUAAAAAGAGGCAGCCCUGUAUUUAUAUAGCA
rnacentral:lncRNA from 1 species